GCUGUCGCUGACUCGAAAGGUCGUGCACGCCCGAGCGCUCUCACGCAUCCAUCUCACCCCUUUGUGAACCACCGCGUGGGUCGUCCUUCGGGCGGCUCGCGUUUUUACAUACAUACCCUUUUAAUGCGAUGUUAGAAUGUUUUACCUUUUUUGCGGUGACACGCAAUCAAUACAACUUUCAACAACGGAUCUCUUGGCUCUCGCAUCGAUGAAGAACGCAGCGAAAUGCGAUACGUAAUGUGAAUUGCAGAAUUCAGUGAAUCAUCGAAUCUUUGAACGCAUCUUGCGCCCCUUGGUAUUCCGAGGGGCACACCCGUUUGAGUGUCGUGACAUCCUCAACCUUCUCGGUCUUUGCGACCGAGAAAGGCUUGGACGUUGGGGGUUUUUGCUGGCUUCCCUCGAAGCCAGCUCCCCUUAAAUGGAUUAGUGGGGUUCGCUUUGCCGAUCCUCGACGUUGAUAAGAUGUUUCUACGUCUUGGGUCAGGCACUGUCUUUUGGGAACCACGCUUCUAACCGUCUCGGGAGAGACAACGCG
rnacentral:rRNA from 1 species